ACACUCCACACAAAUCAAAUGAGUCUCUCCGUCACCAUGUUGCUUCUUCUCUCCGUCGCACCAGCUUCUUCCGCCACUGUCGCCGCCGCUCGCGUCGCAGGAUCUCUCUCUGUCAUCCCUUGCGCCGCACGGGCUCCCUCUGCCACCGCUCUCGUCGCGUCUGCAGCGAUUUGUGAAACUCAUCUCAACUUGGUGGAAACUCGGUGGUUAUUGUUGAAUGGCGAAGCUUGAAGCGAAGCUCGGAAUGAUAGUUGACUCCGUUGGUAACUUCUUCUCCGGCAAAGACCAGCUUCUCCACUAACCGAAUCAAAUCGAAUCAAACACUUUAUAUAUAGGAUUGCAUAGAUCUUCAAUCUUUUGAUCUAUUCGCACUCCACUAACCAGGUUGGAAUUGAAAUGCAGAGAAAAGCUGCAUUGCCGUUGAGGGACGCAAAAAGCGGCAAUGCGAACAAGAUGAAGGCUCUGUGCGGCAAGGAAGCUUUGGUGAAGCUUCUGCGAUGGCAUUUUGGUGAAG